AGUGGGGAAUCUUGCGCAAUGGGCGAAAGCCUGACGCAGCCAUGCCGCGUGAAUGAUGAAGGUCUUAGGAUUGUAAAAUUCUUUCACCGGGGACGAUAAUGACGGUACCCGGAGAAGAAGCCCCGGCUAACUUCGUGCCAGCAGCCGCGGUAAUACGAAGGGGGCUAGCGUUGCUCGGAAUUACUGGGCGUAAAGGGCGCGUAGGCGGACAUUUAAGUCAGGGGUGAAAUCCCGAGGCUCAACCUCGGAACUGCCUUUGAUACUGGGUGUCUUGAGUGUGAGAGAGGUAUGUGGAACUCCGAGUGUAGAGGUGAAAUUCGUAGAUAUUCGGAAGAACACCAGUGGCGAAGGCGACAUACUGGCUCAUUACUGACGCUGAGGCGCGAAAGCGUGGGGAGCAAA
rnacentral:rRNA from 1 species